UACGUAGGGUGCGAGCGUUAAUCGGAAUUACUGGGCGUAAAGCGUGCGCAGGCGGUUUCGUAAGACAGACGUGAAAUCCCCGGGCUCAACCUGGGAACUGCCUUUGUGACUGCAAGGCUGGAGUGCGGCAGAGGGGGAUGGAAUUCCGCGUGUAGCAGUGAAAUGCGUAGAGAUGUGGAGGAAUAUCGAUGGCGAAGGCAGCCCCCUGGGUUAGUACUGACGCUCAUGCACGAAAGCGUGGGGAGCAAACAGG
rnacentral:rRNA from 1 species